rnacentral:tRNA from 1 species
GGGCCUGUAGCUCAGUUGGUAGAGCAGUGCUUUUGCAAAGCAAAGGUCAUCGGUUCAAAUCCGAUCAGGUCCA